AUUGAACGCUGGCGGCAUGCCUUACACAUGCAAGUCGAACGGAUCUAGGGGCUUGCUCCUAGGUUAGUGGCGAACGGGUGAGUAAUGCAUCGGAACGUACCCAGUCGUGGGGGAUAACGUAGCGAAAGUUACGCUAAUACCGCAUACGUCCUGAGGGAGAAAGCAGGGGAUCGCAAGACCUUGCGCGAUUGGAGCGGCCGAUGUCGGAUUAGCUAGUUGGUGGGGUAAAAGCCUACCAAGGCAACGAUCCGUAGCUGGUCUGAGAGGAUGAUCAGCCACACUGGGACUGAGACACGGCCCAGACUCCUACGGGAGGCAGCAGUGGGGAAUUUUGGACAAUGGGCGAAAGCCUGAUCCAGCCAUGCCGCGUGAGUGAAGAAGGCCU
rnacentral:rRNA from 1 species